CUCGACCUGCUCAGCAAGGGCGCUGUUCCCAGGAUCCUGAGCUACAAAGCCGUCCCAAUGGCCAAGCGGAACUGGAAGCCCGGCUUUACAGUCGGCCUGAUGAGCAAGGACCUUCGCCUCAUGGCCGAGCAAAUCCCAGCCGGGACGCUUGGCGCUCAUGCCCACGAGCUCAUAGAGAGAGCUCGAGCCCAGGUUCUGACCGACUCGGACGUAGGAGCAAUUCUGCUUCAGGUGGAGCAAGAAGGCAGAACCUGAUCGGGCAAACAGUCUACUACUCAGCGGCUCGAGGCGCGUCACUGUCCGUGAAAAGAACUUAGUGACCUUACUAUAUCUCGCAGCGCCGGAUGUGGUUCUAUUAGGGCCACUAAGUCGGCGAAACGAUUAAUUGUGUCAAAUUGAAACAUUCCUGUCGAUUCAACGUUUAGGCUGCAGAUGCGGCACCUGGAGGCAAACAGGA
rnacentral:misc_RNA from 1 species